GCUCACCUUCGGGUCGCCUCCCUGCUCCCGCGGAGCCCCGGCUGGGUCGCGGGGUGGGGUGGGGAGCCGGGGCCCGAACCCACAGCUCCGCGCGCCGGGCACGGGGAUGAUGCUCUCCUACUGCACUUGUUCCGCCUGGGCCAUCGCAACGCAACGCGGGGCCAACCGCGCAUGCGCAGCCCUGUCUCCGCCCCUCCUUUUCCCGUCAUGCUCUGGGCCUGAGCCGAGGAGAUCUUCCCAGGAUUCCUCUCUCCUCAGUGAUGGCUGACUUCUUAAAGAGACCAAGACCCGAGGAUGAAAAGAUGCUGGGUGUAGGCCUUGCUUGUUACGUACGUAUGAGACUUAAGGGGAUGAUGCCAAGCAAUUCCGCGCCCCCACCAGCCAUCGGUGAGAGACCCAGCUGCCCCAUCCUCACCUAUCUUAUUUAUUUAAUCAUGAGAGAGAGAGGCAGAGACACGGGCAGAAGGAGAAGCAGGCUCCAUGCAGGAGCCCAACGUGGGACUCCAUCCCAGGACCCCAGGGUCACGCCCUGGGCUGAAGGUGGCGCUAAACCGCUGAGCCACCCGGGCUGCCCGACUAAGAACUAUUUUUGAAAGUUUGUCCUUUCCCCUAUUGCUCUGCACUGUCACCCUUGCAUAAACAAGUUAUCUAUAAAUGUGUGGAUUUGUUUCAGGACUAUGCAAUCUAUUCAUUUUGUCUCUCUUUGUGGAAAUGUCACAUUGUCUUAAUUUCUGUAACAGCUUUACAGGAAAUCUUGAUGUCUGGUAGAAAAAAAGUCUUCCUUCCCAUUAUGAUCUUCAAAAUUGUUUUGGCUUUUCUUGGUCCUUUGUAUAUCCAUAUAAAUGUUAUUUUUUAAGGAUUUUAUUUUUAAAUAAUCUCUACACCCAAUGUGAGGCUCAAACUCAGAACUCCAAGAUCAAAGAGUCCUCUGACUGAGCCAGCCAGGCACCCCCAUAUAAAUUUUAGAAUCUGCUUGCCAAAUGUGACCAAAUUUUCCAUAUAUGUUUUAAACUCCCCCAGAAUUUUGGUUAGUAUUGCACUGGGUGCCAAAUGUGACCAAAUUUUCCAUAUAUGUUUUAAACUCACCCAGAAUUUUGGUUAGUAUAGCACUGAAGCUAUAGACUUGUUUUGGAGAAUUGGCAUUUGUUAUUCAUUGUGUUGAAUUGAGUCCCCCAAAAAGAUAUGGUGACCUCAGAAUAUGACUUUAUGUGAAAAUAGCAUUGUUGUAGAUGUAAUUAGAGUAGGAUUGACCCUUAAUAAUUAGAGUAGCUGGUCAUAUUAAAGUAGGAUUGACCCUUAAUAAUCCAAUAUAACUCAUGUCCUUAUAAGAAGAGGAGACAUAGAGACUGACACUUGGGGAAAGAACACCAGAAGAUAAUUGAGGCAGAAAGUGCAGUACUUACAGCUGCAAACCAAGGAAUGGCAAGGAUUAAUGGUAAACAAACAAAAGCUAGAAGAGACAAGGAAGGAGUCUCCCAUCUGGAUUUCAGAGAGAAGAAGGCUCUGCUGAUACCAUAAUUUUAGACAUCAAGCCUACAGAACUGUAAGACAAUAAAUUUCUGUUUGUAGCACUUUCUUACAGCAGGCCUAGGAAACUAAUAUGAUUGAAUCUUCCAAUCCAUGAAAAUAGUAUAUCUCUCCAUUUAUUUCUGUAAUUUCUCUUGAUGAUG